rnacentral:rRNA from 1 species
UACGGAGGGGGCUAGCGUUGUUCGGAAUUACUGGGCGUAAAGCGCACGUAGGUGGUUCGGUAAGUCGGGUGUUAAACCCCCAGGCUCAACCUGGGGACGCCACUCGAUACUGCUGUGACUAGAGUCCGGUAGGGGAGCGUGGAAUUCCUGGUGUAGCGGUGAAAUGCGCAGAUAUCAGGAGGAACACCAGCGGCGAAGGCGGCGCUCUGGGCCGGUACUGACACUGAGGAGCGAAAGCGUGGGUAGCAAACAGG